ACGUAGGUGGCAAGCGUUAUCCGGAUUUACUGGGUGUAAAGGGCGUGUAGGCGGGAUUGCAAGUCAGAUGUGAAAAUUAUGGGCUCAACCCAUAACCUGCAUUUGAAACUGUAGUUCUUGAGUACUGGAGAGGCAGACGGAAUUCCUAGUGUAGCGGUGAAAUGCGUAGAUAUUAGGAGGAACACCAGUGGCGAAGGCGGUCUGCUGGACAGCAACUGACGCUGAGGCGCGAAAGCGUGGGGAGCAAACAG
rnacentral:rRNA from 1 species